GGUCUAUAGAAAUAGUUUUUGGGGAGGGGAAUGUGGAGUAUUGUGGUUAGUAUGGAGGAUUAUUGGAAGGAAGAUUCCGGUGGAGUGAAGCCGAAGCAUUCAUCGGGUGGGGGGUUACAAAUAUGGAGCGGUAUUAAGUAGUGUUGUACAUGUGUACGUUCCCCCUCAAGUGGUUGAAAGUUAUGAUCUGUUAGACGUAAAAUGUAUGGUCUUGUGAAGAAACCCUAAACACCAGAAGCGCAACGAAGCUGUUGCCAUGCGUGUACGACUCAGCCCAAAAAUUUAGAGGUAUUGGAGGACGAGGUGAAGGCUAGGGUUCUGGAUUCGUGAAGAAUUAUUUGCUGAAGAUUCAAAAGUAAAACCAGGGUUUGGUUUAGGAGGUAUAGCUCAAGGCGUAAGCGAUGCAUACUACGGGCACAUUCCGAACAGGUCCAGGUCAUCAUUAGUAAAAUUAUCAUCCCAUUACAAAUACGGGAAUACAAAUUGUUAGGGCCUCUUAUUUGAAUUUGCAAGUGUUGAAGUAAAAUGAAGAAGAUCUGAUGCUUAAUCAGAACAAAUGAAUAACAAGUCAAGAAAGGUUAAAACCAAUGAUGAUAAAAUGACAAUGAGAUGAUUCGACUUCGAUUAUUUGCAUCAGAGAAAGAUCAAGAGAUCUUUCCACAAAAGGAAGAAGAACAGACUAGGAAAAGACGAAAUCUGAUCUAUCUGAUGAUAAUAUGAUGAUUACAAUCUGACCCGGAUCAGAUCAGAUCAUCAAAUAUCUGAUGACCCCACCUGCCUGACAUGAUAAGGAUGGCAGACUUCAAGUUGGCAAAUGGAAGAUUUCGGAUACAAUGAAUAUGCCAAACGAUUACUUUCCAGAAGUCAACUACAUGAAUAAACAAAUGUUUAUUCAUGCCAAACAUUCUAUAUAAAUGGAGAACUGAAUCAACGAAGAGUAAAUGAGCCAAGCAUUUAAGAUCAAUAUCUUACAUGCUCCACCGCCCUUCAUUGAUUCUCCACUCAAAAUUUUUUAAGUUUUGUUCUGUAUUAGCCAAUAAGUAACCAAUCACCUUGCAAUCUUUUGCAAGUGAUAUAAACUUGAAAAAUUCCGUACUUUCGUUUCUUGAAAGUUUGAUUUCUGACUCUACACAUUAUUUUCAAUACAUGUUGAAAUCACUUGCCAUAGUUUUAAGCCAAAGGUUGUUUAUCUGGAUCAAUACAAAUAACAAACUAACCUACUAACAAUGAUGGUAUAACAAUAUUCAGUGCAGAUAAUGGCCCAUAGGUUUUGUCAGCAUAAUCCCAAGUUACAUAUAUAGGUUAGCGAGAUAUGAAAAUAUAAUGAACACUUAGUCUCUCAUUACUCGUAUAUUAUAAAAGAACAUGUGUUAGUUCUUACGCCGGAGGAUGGUCACAGAGAGACCCCACUCUGUGUGAUGGGUCUAAUUGGUGUUGGUGUGUGCAGGGUUUAGUGAAAAGGAUCCUUUUAUUUGCCAUCAUAGAGGAAGGAUGUAUACGGUGCAUAUCGGGGAUGAGGUAUAUGGUGCAUGUCGCUGGGGAUUUCUUUACUCUAGAUUGACGUCACUUGUAAGACAAAACACAUAUUAUUGUUCUUUUGUUAGAUUUUAAUAGUUAUAUUGUAUUACCUCUCUGUUUGUAAAUAUUCAACACCAAU
rnacentral:lncRNA from 1 species